rnacentral:rRNA from 1 species
GUCCACGCCGUAAACGAUGUCGAUUUGGAGGCUGUGUCCUUGAGACGUGGCUUCCGGAGCUAACGCAUUAAAUCGACCGCCUGGGGAGUACGGCCGCAAGGUUAAAACUCAAAUGAAUUGACGGGGGCCCGCACAAGCGGUGGAGCAUGUGGUUUAAUUCGAUGCAACGCGAAGAACCUUACCUGGCCUUGACAUGUCUGGAAUCCUGUAGAGAUACGGGAGUGCCUUCGGGAAUCAGAACACAGGUGCUGCAUGGCUGUCGU